GACGAACGCUGGCGGCGUGCCUAAUACAUGCAAGUCGAACGGUCUUUUCUAUGGAAGCUUGCUUCCACUGAGAAGAUAGUGGCGAACGGGUGAGUAACACGUGGGUAACCUACCCAUAAGAGGGGGAUAACAUCCGGAAACGGGUGCUAAUACCGCAUAGUUUUCUUGAUCGCAUGAUCGGGAAAGGAAAGACGGCCUUUGUGCUGUCGCUUAUGGAUGGACCCGCGGCGUAUUAGUUAGUUGGUGAGGUAACGGCUCACCAAGACGAUGAUACGUAGCCGACCUGAGAGGGUGAUCGGCCACAUUGGGACUGAGACACGGCCCAAACUCCUACGGGAGGCAGCAGUAGGGAAUCUUCCGCAAUGGACGAAAGUCUGACGGAGCAGCGCCGCGUGAGUGAAGAAGGUUUUCGGAUCGUAAAACUCUGUUGUCAGAGAAGAACAAGUUGGAGAGUAACUGCUCCAGCCUUGACGGUAUCUGACCAGAAAGCCACGGCUAACUACGUG
rnacentral:rRNA from 1 species